rnacentral:rRNA from 1 species
GUAGGUGGCAAGCGUUGUCCGGAAUUAUUGGGCGUAAAGCGCGCGCAGGCGGGGUCCUUUAAGUCUGAUGUGAAAGCCCACGGGCUCAACCGUGGAGGGUCAUUGGAAACUGGGGGACUUGAGUACAGAAGAGGAAAGCGGAAUUCCGAGUGUAGCGGUGAAAUGCGUAGAGAUUUGGAGGAACACCAGUGGCGAAGGCGGCUUUCUGGUCUGUAACUGACGCUGAGGCGCGAAAGCGUGGGGAGCAAACAGGAUUAGAUACCCUGGUAGUCCACGCCGUAAACGAUGAGUGCUAAGUGUUAGGGGGUUUCCGCCCCUUAGUGCUGCAGCUAACGCAUUAAGCACUCCGCCUGGGGAGUACGGCCGCAAAGGCUG